GACGAACGCUGGCGGCGCGCUUAACACAUGCAAGUCGAACGGAAAGGCCUGCUUUCCCUUGUGGAUUGCGGGUACUCGAGUGUCGAACGGGUGAGUAACACGUGAGUGAUCUGCCCCCACUUUGGUAUAAACCUGGGGAACAUGGUCUAAUUCCCGUUAGGACUGCAGGGUGGUGUCGGUUGUGGUAAACGGUUUUCUAGUGGUUGGGGAUGAGCUCGCGGGCUAGUAGGUUGUUGGUGGGGUAAUGGUCUACCAAGUCGGCGACGGGUAGCCGGCCUGAGAGGGUGGACGGCCACAUUGGGACUGAGAUACGGCCCAGACUCCUACGGGAGGCAGCAGUGGGGAAUAUUGCACAAUGGGCGGAAGCCUGAUGCAGCGACGCCGCGUGGGGGAUGACGGCCUUCGGGUUGUAAACUCCUUUCGACCGCGAGGAAGCCACCUGGUUGGAAGGGUGGUGACGGUAGUGGUAGAAGAAGCACCGGCUAACUACGUG
rnacentral:rRNA from 1 species